rnacentral:snRNA from 1 species
GGAUGUGAGGGUGAUCUGGUUGCCACAUCUGUCACCGCAUUGAUCGCCAGGGUUGAUUUUGGCUGAUCUGGCUGGCUAGGCAGGUGUCCCCUUUCUCCCUCGCCGCUCCAUGUGCAUCCCUCCCGAAGCUGCAUGCUCUGUCAAAGAGGACGACCUUCCCUGAUAGAGGAGAGGACGGUUCUUCGAUCAAGGGUAUAUGAGUAGGUUCUUUGGUCAAGGGUAUAUGAGUAGCUGCAUUCCCCUGCUAGAACCUCCAAACAAGCUCUCAAACAGACCUGGUAGAGAAGAAAAGAGGUAAUUGUACCUGCUUCAUUGUGUUUGACAGUUCUGCCGUA